GACGAACGCUGGCGGCGUGCCUAAUACAUGCAAGUAGAACGCUGAAGGAGGAGCUUGCUUCUCUGGAUGAGUUGCGAACGGGUGAGUAACGCGUAGGUAACCUGCCUGGUAGCGGGGGAUAACUAUUGGAAACGAUAGCUAAUACCGCAUAAUAGUAGAUGUUGCAUGACAUUUGCUUAAAAGGUGCAAUUGCAUCACUACCAGAUGGACCUGCGUUGUAUUAGCUAGUUGGUGAGGUAACGGCUCACCAAGGCGACGAUACAUAGCCGACCUGAGAGGGCGAUCGGCCACACUGGGACUGAGACACGGCCCAGACUCCUACGGGAGGCAGCAGUAGGGAAUCUUCGGCAAUGGACGGAAGUCUGACCGAGCAACGCCGCGUGAGUGAAGAAGGUUUUCGGAUCGUAAAGCUCUGUUGUAAGAGAAGAACGAGUGUGAGAGUGGAAAGUUCACACUGUGACGGUAUCUUACCAGAAAGGGACGGCUAACUACGUG
rnacentral:rRNA from 1 species